rnacentral:rRNA from 1 species
CUACGGGAUGCAGCAGUCGAGAAUCUUCCGCAAUGGACGAAAGUCUGACGGAGCGACGCCGCGUGCGGGAUGAAGGCCUUCGGGUUGUAAACCGCUGUCAGUGGGGAGGAAAUGCAUCAGGGUUCUCCCUGGUGUUUGACCGAUCCGCAGAGGAAGCGCAGGCUAAGUUCGUGCCAGCAGCCGCGGUAACACGAACUGCGCGAACGUUAUUCGGAAUCACUGGGCUUAAAGAGUUCGUAGGCGGCCUUUCAAGUCGGGUGUGAAAUCCCUCGGCUCAACCGAGGAAUUGCGCCUGAUACUGUUGGGCUUGAGGGGGAUAGGGGUGAGCGGAACUGAUGGUGGAGCGGUGAAAUGCGUUGAUAUCAUCAGGAACACCGGUGGCGAAGGCGGCUCACUGGAUCUCUUCUGACGCAGAGGAACGAAAGCUAGGGGAGCGAACGGGAUUAGAUACCCCCGUAGUC